UCUCUCCCCCCAUCGAGUCGACUGUGUUUGCAUAUCAUCCGGUGUGAGAGGAGUUCCUUCCUUCCUUCAUAAGCUCGCUGAUGGCUUAGUCAACGUAGAAUAUGACGAGAUUAAGGGCUUCUUCGGACAAGCAACUACAGAGUAUCUCACUGCAUUUGGAGUCUACGUGAUGCUGGCUUAGUCAACCCUUGUGUGUCAUGAUGAAUAAGGAUGCCACUGUCAGUUAUUGGCAUUUAUGUUUGAAUUGGGUGUCAGCUUAAGGAGUUUGAAAUAAAGUCUAUCUUAUUAAUACUA